GCACUGCUGAGGAGUCCCACAAUAGGACAGAACAGCCGUCCAGUGC
rnacentral:hammerhead_ribozyme from 1 species